rnacentral:rRNA from 1 species
CCGCCAGACUCCUACGGGAGGCAGCAGUGAGGAAUAUUGGUCAAUGGGCGCGAGCCUGAACCAGCCAAGUCGCGUGAGGGAUGAAGGAUCUAUGGUUCGUAAACCUCUUUUAUAAGGGAAUAAAGUGCGGGACGCGUCCCGCUUCGCAUGUACCUUAUGAAUAAGGAUCGGCUAACUCCGUGCCAGCAGCCGCGGUAAUACGGAGGAUCCGAGCGUUAUCCGGAUUUAUUGGGUUUAAAGGGUGCGUAGGCGGCCUUUUAAGUCGGCGGUGAAAGUCUGUGGCUCAACCAUAGAAUUGCCGUUGAAACUGGGGGGCUUGAGUAUGUUUGAGGCAGGCGGAAUGCGUGGUGUAGCGGUGAAAUGCAUAGAUAUCACGCAGAACCCCGAUUGCGAAGGCAUCUGACGAAUCGGAGAUUGACGCUGAUGCACGAAAGCGUGGGUAUCGAACAGGAUUAGAUACCCCCGUA